rnacentral:rRNA from 1 species
UACGGGGGGGGCAAGCGUUGUUCGGAAUUACUGGGCGUAAAGCGUGCGCAGGCGGUUCGUUGUGUCUGAUGUGAAAGCCCCGGGCUCAACCUGGGAAUGGCAUUGGAAACUGGCGAGCUAGAGUGUGGCAGAGGGGGGUGGAAUUCCGCGUGUAGCAGUGAAAUGCGUAGAGAUGCGGAGGAACACCGAUGGCGAAGGCAGCCCCCUGGGCUGACACUGACGCUCAGGCACGAAAGCGUGGGGAGCAAACAGG